rnacentral:lncRNA from 1 species
GAAAAUCAUCAUCAUUGGUGCCUCCAAGGCUCUUUGGUUGGUUCUGCAAUCAUAGGAACCCUUACCUGGUCUCCUGAGACAUUCUCCUCUCUCCACACCCUAGUACAACACCACCCACACACCUGAUGGCAGAGCUUUUAGGGACGGGUAAAUUGAAGCAAAAAGCAGACAAGUUCUAUGGGAUUUGCUGGCAUGGAUUUCCCAGGGUGGCAAAGUGCUAAGAACUAAACCUUUAAAGCUAACAAAAUGUACUGAUGUCUUUGCAAAGUAUCCAAGACCAACAAGAAAGUAAUUUCCCACCUCACCCUACCACCACCCAGAAAAGGAGCACAGAGAUGGGCAAGAGAGUGGCUGCAUCUGGCAUCCAGCCAGAGGAGUCCGUGCAGGGAUUCUGGAUCCCUCUUCCCCCACCCCACUGCCCUUCCCCCUCCACCCCAGCAUUUUGGAGAAGCAAGAAACUGUAAUGAUGCAGCUCCCUCAAGUGUCACAUGAACAUACUGGAAAGAGCCUCCUGAGGUAAAUAUGCCAUGCAGACAGAAACAAGCAAUGGCUCAACAGCAAUGUAUGAGGUCCAAGGACCAGGACCAAAGGGAAAAACAGCCAUCUCACCAGACACCUGCCUACUACCAGAUGCGUCAUCUCCAAUAUUAGCUAACUCCCUGGAACCUGGACUCAAGGUGUGAAAUAAAGGUUAAUGGGAAACCGCAGGAGUCAAAAGGAGGGGGCAGGAUUAUUGAGGAUUCAGGCUGUUGAGAAAUGAAAGUUUGGAUCACUCCCCAGAUAAAGAACCUUGACCAUUUAAGGGCAAUGGAAAUAUAGAAUAGGCAGUAGAAGAAGGAAGCCAUAGAUACCAACUAUGGCCUCUCAAUCAAUUACAAAACUGAGAAUUCUGACAGUUUUGUGUAUUUCCUCUUUGCAUGUGAUGUAUAUGUGUGUAUUUGUAUAUAUUAACCAUUUUCCUUUUUCUCUCCUCAUUAUUUUAUGAAAGCUGUUGAAUAUAAACUCUACAAUUUAGCCUUUAGGUAAGAGAAUAUUCAGUGGGACUUUGAUUUGAGGAGUAUUUAAGACAGCCAGAUGAGACUACGAUAACUGUUGGAACUGUGUGUCUCCUCAUUUGGGGAAAGGGGUGAGAACUCUGCAUUUCUCUGAAGAACAGAGUUGACUUUGUGUUAUACAGAGUUCAAAUAUAUAUAUAAAAUGAUGCAUGUGGAAGCUAAGAAGCCAAAGGAGUUCACCAAGACAGUUAUCGAUAUAUUGCCUCUCCGCUCCAAAUCCACCCUUCUUUGCCCUGUUCCAUGAUACUAAUCUGGCUCCUCGGUCAGCCAGUGCAAUGUCAUCUGUUGCUGGUAGAGUGUAGGGGAGACACUACAAGGUAUAGUAAAGGGGUCAGAUGCGGUGUCUCAUGCCUGUAAUCACAGCCCUUUGGGAGGCAGAGGCAGGAGGAUCACCUGAGGCCAGGAGUUUGAGACCAGCCUGGACAACAUGGUAAAACCCCAUCUCUACUGAAAAUACAAAAUUAGCACGCACCUGUAAUCCCAGCUACUCGGGAGGCUGAGGCAGGAGAAUCACUUGAACCUGGGAGGUGGAGGUUGCAGUGAGCCAAGAUCGCAUCAUUGCACUCCAGCCAGGGAAAAAAGGCAAAACUCUGUCUCAAAAAAAUAAAUAAAUAAAAUAAAAU